rnacentral:rRNA from 1 species
CCCGAUGAACCUGAAUAUCCGUUAUGGAAAAUUCAUCAUUAAUAUUAUUAUAUUUAAAAAUAUAUUAAAAAUAGUGUGCAAUUUUUCCAUAUAAGGACAUUGUAAUCUGUUAAUGUAAUAAAUAUUUAUCAAAAAAUUUAAAACAUUAGUUUAUUCAAAUUAGUUAUUUUCGAAUUUCUAACAUAGAAUAAUUGUAUUAGAUUUGAUAAAUCAUUGACAGAUUUUACUAUAUAUAAUGCUUAAAUUCUUUUUGAAUUUUAUAAUUAUAGUAAAAAUUUAUUUUUAUUUAUAAUUAUAUGCAUUUAUAUGAUUAACAAUGCGAUAGAUUCAGGAUACCUUCGGGACCCGUCUUGAAACACGGACCAAGGAGUCUAACAUAUGUGCAAGUCAUUGGGUAUUUUUAAUAAAACCCAAUGGCAUAAUUAACUUAACUGUUUUUUAAUGGGAUUAGUUUGUAUUUUAUUAUGAAAUAUAAAUUCAAUCCCGGGGCGUUCUAUACAGUUAUGCAUAAUGAUAUUUAUAUUAUUUAUGCCUCUAACUAGAGCGUACCUUCAGCAUAUAUGCUGUGACCC